GGGGCAAUGGCGCAUCUGGGAGCGCGUCAGACUGAAGUAAACUUCGGCCAUAGGAUUUCAUCUGCAAAGAUGUCCCUGUAUAUCUGAAGGUGGCCGGUUCAAGCCCGGCUUGCCCCA